GAUGAACGCUGACAGAAUGCUUAACACAUGCAAGUCAACUUGAACUUCGGUUUGGGUGGCGGACGGGUGAGUCACGCGUAAAGAACUUGCCUCACAGCUAGGGACAACAUUUGGAAACGAAUGCUAAUACCUGAUAUUAUGAUUAUAUGGCAUCGUAUAAUUAUGAAAGCUAUAUGCGCUGUGAGAGAGCUUUGCGUCCCAUUAGCUAGUUGGAGAGGUAACAGCUCACCAAGGCGAUGAUGGGUAGCCGGCCUGAGAGGGUGAUCGGCCACAAGGGGACUGAGACACGGCCCGUACUCCUACGGGAGGCAGCAGUGGGGAAUAUUGGACAAUGGACCGAGAGUCUGAUCCAGCAAUUCUGUGUGCACGAUGAAGUUUUUCGGAAUGUAAAGUGCUUUCAGUUGGGAAGAAAAAAAUGACGGUACCAACAGAAGAAGUGACGGCUAAAUACGUG
rnacentral:rRNA from 1 species